UAGUCCCAGCUACUUGGAAGGCUGAGGUGGGAGCAUCCCUUGAACCCAGGAGGUUGAGGCUGCAUAAUUGUGCCACUGCGGAGUGGGUGACAGAGUGAGACUCUGUCUCAAAAGAAAUAUAAAAAGAACCAGAGAGGAGAAGGGGAUAAAUUGUAAAGUAAUAGCACAUUUACCAAUUUCCUGUGAAUUUGUCCAGAAAAUAGUAGGUAGUGCAGAAAUUUAACACCAAGCAAAUAAGAGAACUAGACCACCUACGGAAGAAACUCAACAAGCUGUACUUUAAGAAGUCCUCUGGAAUUAAGAACAUCUGUGCUAAAAUGUCUGCUGUUAACACCAUUUCCAAGCAGAAAUAAUAAACGGGAAGGGGGAGUUACGACCAUCAUUCCCUAUACGGCAAGUCAGCUUUUAAUCUAGUCUUUUAUUUUUCUUCUUGUUUUACAGGGGGUAAAAGCUUACAUAAACCUCAUCUAUAGAAAAGGUCUUAUCUAAGAUUGGAUGACAAAAAUUCAAUAGGGAGAGAAAAUUAAUGCAAAUGAGACUAGUAGUUCUCUGUAUUGUGAGUUUUCAUUUUUGCUCUGUUGCCUCUUCCAUAAAGUGAAGACUAAUUCCUGACCUUUCCCUCCCUCUAAGAAGAAUGUGUGCAUGAGAAAAAAUCAAAUGCCAAUGAAAAGCUGUCAGAUGUGCUACACAGAAUGUUCCCAAAUGAAUUUUAUGUUAAUUGUUCUGAUUCUUCCUUCACAAAGUCAUUAACAGAAGCACACAAAAGCCCUUGCCACCAGUAUUGCAGGAGUCCUUGACACAGCCAAAAUCAGCUGCAGCACCAGUACAGCUGAUACUUCAACUGAUCAGAAGAGGAGGUUUCUCACCCUGCAGCAUGGCAUGCCCUGGCUUCCUGUGGGCACUUGUGAUCUCUACCUGGCUCGGUAAGGAAGGCACAUGUAUUUACCUUAACUAGUAUCCAAUAGAACAGAGAAGUAGGAAAAAAGAUUAAUAGUGCAGGAAUCUAAUCUUCUCAUUGGGCCCAGCUAUUAGGGACAAGAAAGCUGAUGGAUUUUGUCAGAGGUUUGGAUCAAGUGGAAGAAAGGUGGGUGGCAAUCACAAUAGGCUUGUGAGUCUGUUUUCUCUCUCUCUCUCUGACAUGAUAUCCCAGUGAAGUUUUUUCUCUCCUCUUUCCCACAGAAUUCAGCAUAGCCCAGAGAG
rnacentral:lncRNA from 1 species